rnacentral:rRNA from 1 species
UACGGGGGGGGCAAGCGUUGUUCGGAAUUACUGGGCGUAAAGGGCUCGUAGGUGGUCAACUAAGUCGGACGUGAAAUCCCUCGGCUUAACCGGGGAACUGCGUCUGAUACUGGAUGGCUUGAGGUUGGGAGAGGGAUGCGGAAUUCCAGGUGUAGCGGUGAAAUGCGUAGAUAUCUGGAGGAACACCGGUGGCGAAGGCGGCAUCCUGGACCAAUUCUGACACUGAGGAGCGAAAGCCAGGGGAGCAAACGGG